rnacentral:rRNA from 1 species
GACGAACGCUGGCGGCGUGCUUAACACAUGCAAGUCGAACGGGCCCGCUCUCUUUUUUGGGGGUGGGUUGAGUGGCGAACGGGUGAGUAUCACGUGAGUAACCUGCCCCCUGCUCCUGGAUAACUGCUUGAAAGGGCGGCUAAUACGGGGUGUGCCGGCUGGUCCGCAUGGGCCUGGUCGGGAUAGUUUCAUCUUCGGGUGUUUCGGUGGGGGAUGGGCUCGCGGCCUAUCAGCUUGUUGGUGGGGUGAUGGCCCACCAAGGCGGUGACGGGUAGCCGGCCUGAGAGGGUGGGCGGCCACACGGGGACGGAGACACGGCCCAGACUCCUGCGGGAGGCAGCAGUGGGGGGUAUUGCACAAUGGGCGGAAGCCUGAUGCAGCGACGUCGCGUGAGGGAUGGAGGCCUUCGGGUGGGGAACCUCUUUCUCCGGUGGUGAAGGCCCUGUCCGUUGCGGCGGGGUUGACGGUAGCCGGGUAUGAAGCGCCGGCUAACUACGUG